rnacentral:lncRNA from 10 species
AAUUUCAUAGUGGGAAAUUUCAUCUUUCAUGAAGAGCUUGUAGGCUUCCUGCAACAACCAUGGAAAUGUGUCCACUGGAUCUCUCUCCAAGAAGGAACUUGCCAAUCAGCCAUGAGAAGUGCAGUGAGCUGUCAUUCCCCCAGGUGCAACAUUUAGCCGAGGCCAGGCUCUUCCCAGGAAGACCCCAGCCAAGGACAGAACAGGACUAAAUGAAGAUCAAGUCUGAAAGUCAUUCACUUUGUCAUCUGUUGGCUCUACCUUUGACUCAAGUGCCAGCCUCUUCAUCUCUCUCCUGGAUUCCUAUAAUACCUUCUCAGCUUCGGCUGUCAUUUCCCCUCCACACACAGCCAGCAUGAGUGACUGCAAAAUCAAAGUCCUGAGCUGGUCUCCCCACUCACUCAAAGGCCCUGUAGGACAGUGUCCCUCUGUGAUGGCAUAGCCACGCUGGCCUCUUGGCUGUUCCUCAGAUAUCCCAUGCUGCUGCCACCUUGAGCACUUGCUGGUUUAUCUGCCUGAUUCAAUGCUCUUCUCCCGACAUUUAUCCACAUGGACCCAUCUGCAAAGUUCUCAAGUUUCUGCUCAGAGUCACCUCAUCAGUAUCUGUUGAGAGAGUUUAUGAAGAAACCAGCCAACAUCCUGGAGAUCCUCAGGCCACCUCAAAUAC